rnacentral:tRNA from 1 species
GCCGAGGUGGCGGAAUUGGCAGACGCGCUAGGCCUAGGACCUAGUCCUUAAAAGGGUUGAGGGUUCGAGUCCCUCCCUCGGCA